GCAUGGUACUAAAUGGAUGGUACGAAGUGACUAUGAUUCUAUUAUAUCGAUAUAAUUCUGUCCACCACACUUAAAAAUAUAUUUUAUUUUGAUCGCAUUAAUUUCAGGAUCUGUAUAUCAUAUAUAAUAUAUAUAUUAGUUCAUCAAGAUUAACUUUGGCUACAAGUGCAAGCACUACCAAACUUACUAACUCAGUCAGUAGUGCAUACCUGAGAUGCUUGGGUCGUACUUCUAAUUGAACCACGAUGUAAAGGGGAUCCAUGCUUAAGUUUCAACAUUCUGCAAGACAGCCUUGGUGACAAUCGUGUGGAAUUCCCCAUGACAUGUUACACUGUGGCUGGCACUCAGUCACAGAGAGGUCACGCGAACAGCAUCAUUGUAAUGAAGAUGAGUAACCUACGCAAAACACAGAAAGAGAAGAAAGACGACGAAGAAGACGACGAAGAAGAAGAAAGUGAUAGUGAAGAUGAAGAUGAAUUGCCGGAAAUGGAGACUGCACUUGUUAAACAUACUGGAAGUGUCAACAGAAUUCGGACCACUGUGCUAGGAGACAAACACUUUGCAGCUACCUGGUAGGAGAAUGGCAAGGUUUACAUCUGGGAUCUCUCACAUCCAGUAAAUGCCUUCAAUGACUCAAGCGUUAUGACUGUUUACACUCGGAAUGAGGAAUCUCCAGCCCGUGUUUGUAUUCGCAGGUCACCAAAUUGAAGGAUUUGCUCUGGAUUAGUGCAACACAACUGAAGCAUGGGUGUUUGCUUCCUCGGGAGCUGACGAUCAGAUAACAAUAUGGGACCUGUCUGUGGAACCCGAUACCGAGAUGACCGAGUCGUCGGAACCCGAACCCGACGUCCCACCACAGUUACUGUUCAUUCACCAGGGACAGAAAGACAUUAAAGAACUCCACUGGCAUUCUCAGCUGACGGGAGUCAUUCUGAGUUCGGCAAGCAGUGGGUUCAACAUAUUCUGAACGAUCAGUGUGUGAUAAUAAAAAAGAAAACAAAA
rnacentral:misc_RNA from 1 species